UAAGCUUUAAGAUCAAAAGCAUUCAUGCAUGUUUUCAUGUUAUAUCCUUUUUAUUGUUUGUGUGUGAUGAUGUUAUAGAUUUUUCAGCCAUUUGUUUUGAUCUUAACCAAAUAAAAAAAAAAAAAAUUCAACAUGAGAAUUAAAAACACUAGAAUAGAUUAGAAUAGUAACUUGUAAAUACUAGAAUAGACUAGAUUAUUGUAAUAGAAUACUCAAAUAGAUUGUGGUGUGUAAUGUAAUAGUAUUUUAGAAAAAUAAUAUUCAUUGCAUGUAUUGAAUAUUUCCUUAAAAAAUAAUAUUUAAGUGGGUAAAAAAAAUUUGGGACAGGCAAUGUAUUUGAUGGAGUUAGGAAUCUAAAUCAUAAAACAAUGAAAGAGAAGAAUGAAAAGA
rnacentral:misc_RNA from 1 species